rnacentral:rRNA from 1 species
CUGGUCUUGACAUCCCGAUGAAAAACGAGUAAUGUCGUUCCCUCUUCGGAGCAUUGGAGACAGGUGGUGCAUGGUUGUCGUCAGCUCGUGUCGUGAGAUGUUGGGUUAAGUCCCGCAACGAGCGCAACCCCUAUCCUUAGUAGCCAGCAGUGAGAUGGGCACUCUAGGGAGACUGCCGGGGAUAACCCGGAGGAAGGCGGGGAUGACGUCAAAUCAUCAUGCCCCUUAUGACCAGGGCUACACACGUGCUACAAUGGCGUAAACAAAGGGAAGCGACCCUGUGAAGGCGAGCAAAUCUCAAAAAUAACGUCUCAGUUCGGAUUGUAGUCUGCAACUCGACUACAUGAAGCUGGAAUCGCUAGUAAUCGCGGAUCAGCA